UCUUGAUCGUACGACGUGAAUACGCGAUAACUUACGGAAAUUUAAUUUUUUUUUUUUUAAUAUGGAAUUUGUUAAAUCUAACAAAGGUGGCUUAAAAAUUUGUUGGAAUGGGUAUAUACGUACAUAAUGAAACACCAGGGCCAAACGCGAUUAACGUGGAGAUGCACAAAGGAAUGCUCUUUGAAAUAUCGCGGCACAAUGUACACAGACUUGCAGGAGAAAUGUAAUCCACAAAUUGGAAAAGUUCAUAGUCUAUAGCUGAUACACAUGAAGUUUAGUACGACUUUUGUCAUUUUUCUUGUGACAUAUCGCCACAUAGAGGUAAAGUAUCGCCAUGUGAAGGUGAAGCAUCAGCACAUAGAGGUGAGGCAUCGCCACAUGGAGUUGACAUAUAUUAUUAUACUGGCAUGUAAUAUAUAUGUUCAUAAUCGAUGUCUAAUUGUCUCUGGACAUCUAUUAAGCUGCAUUGUUUUGUCUCUGGUACAAACCACCACACAAAUAAUGCACCACAAAGGCAUAACACAAAGUGAAACAAGAAGACAUAUUCAAUUCCGAAAAACUUGAUAAUUUCGUAUGGAAAGCGUGAGCUGAUCAGCUGAAAUCUAAGAAUCAAAUUCUGACAUAAAAUACAAAUUUGUUACUAACUUAAACGAUUCCUAAUGUGAUGGAUACCAUUUUAGGGUCAACAUCAAUGUCGGUAAUUUUCAUUUUAUGAAACAUGUACGGUACCAUUACAUUUAUUCCAUACAUUUGAUGGACAACAUGUAUCCGACACCGACCAACAGUGCUUUUCAGUUUUCGAUCCGCACAGUAACUCAAUGCGUCCAAUAUAUGCCACGAGUUUCGUCGAUAUGUGUUACGAUACCUCAGAACUUUGGGUACGAAAUUUCGCCAACGUAUGCAGGUACGAUAGUGGACAUAGUGCCUGAACCGAUGCCGAGUAAUAAUCUACCGGUGACCAUUAACUCCGUCGAUGUGACUGGAAAAGUAACGAUACACAAACCGCCGAUCAAAACAGCAUCGAAAAAUGCCAUGCCCAGUCAGCUGUCAAAACUCAAAACGCCUCCAGACGGGCCCUGAGAGUAAUGCACCAAUCACGACACCAGCUACGAAUAAGAAAGGCGAAAGCGAGCACCGGAAAUCGGUGAUGAGAAAAUCUAUGAUCCUGUCUGCAGGAUUAGAGAAGACCAUUCCAUUUGCCGGAUUAUUAUACCGAUAGCCAUCGCUACUGAUAAUACUGAAAACGUAUACCUAGGUUAUUAGUUUACAACAAUAUAAUAAAACACCGAUUACAAUGAUGUUAUAAAAAAAAUAUUCGUAUUUUUGUUUGAUUAUCAUUAAAAAAUUAUUAUUUAGUAUCGUAUCAUCAUAGAUCAUAGUUAUGAUUUUAUGAAUAAUAAAAGCGAUAUAAUCUAUGAAGAAGCGAUUUUCGAGGA